CAGCCCACACGGGACCACAGAUCAGCAACCCUUCAAAUCUGGAGCGUGAAUGAUUUCAUCGAUGGUGCUAUUCGGGGAUAAACAAACAUGAGGUCUGUGAGGGUCUCCCAAGCUCACGUGCUUCACUGACAUCCUGUGCGGCUUGUGUAAAACGACCACAUGGGGCUUGAGCAGCUCGCCCCUGAAAUGGUCUGUGCUCCUCUAGGAUUCGGCCCUGAGGUGGAGUCAGGAGGCAAAGAGGAGAGAGAAGUGUCCUUACAUGGGAUCAGAUGCGCGUGCGCGCAUGUGUGUCUGUGUGUGUGUGAAUGGAAACGGAAGAUCUUUGAACUUCACGUAUGUUAACUAGACAAUCUCUUUUCAGGUUAAGAUAUGCCAUAUGACCGUUUUGGGGGUCCUUUUUGGUAGAGCAAAAAAGUAUUGUAAUGUCAAUACCAUAUUUUAAAAAAUUGUAACCUAUUAAUAUUAACAGGUAAGAAUGAGGUAAUUACUUCAUGGAAGAUGCUAAGUGCUGGCAUCUAUAGUCUUAUGAAAUGCAGAGCUGUAGAAUUGGCUGAGUUGGUGUCGCUAAUCUUUAUAUUUACAACUUGGAUUUUUAAAUGUUAAUGUUCACCUGAUUUUAAAUGCAGUUUCUUUUUCUGCUUAUUUAUAUAUGUAAUUCCUUUUUUUUUUUUUUUAGUAUAUGUGCUGCCGAAGCGAGCACAUAUAUAUGUAAUUCUUGAGUUAACUUAUUAUAAAUCAAAAGCUACAAAUUUCUAAUUUAGUGUCUGGUUUUACAGAUCCCUGACUCUUCAUUAACGUCUUGAUUUAUAAACAAUGGACCAAAAGUCCCAGCUGCUGGAUGCAAAAACUUGCACAGGAUUUACGCACUCUAAGAUUCCUGCUAUUCUCUUCCCAU